rnacentral:tRNA from 4 species
GCCUCGGUGGCUCAGCAGGUAGAGCGCGUCCUUGGUAAGGACGAAGUCGGGGGUUCAAAUCCCCCCCGAGGCU